AGGUUGAUAAGGAACUUGUCGCCAUAUAGACGCUUAGAUAACCUCUGACCGGAACAUUGGAAGUGUGUGCACCUGUCCAUUUAGGCCUGAUAUGGAUAACGAUAUGUGCAUGCAGUGAUUUCUUGUUGGCUAUAACCAUAUGUAGGGAAGCUCGUCGUUUUGAUACUAGCCGUGCAGUUUAACUUUUCAUAUAGUUUGUUUUGGUAUUGUAAUUAAUAAAAAAAUAUAGAUGUCUA
rnacentral:misc_RNA from 1 species